rnacentral:rRNA from 1 species
UACGAAGGGGGCUAGCGUUGUUCGGAAUCACUGGGCGUAAAGCGCACGUAGGCGGCUUUUUAAGUCAGGGGUGAAAUCCUGGAGCUCAACUCCAGAACUGCCUUUGAUACUGAGAAGCUUGAGUCCGGGAGAGGUGAGUGGAACUGCGAGUGUAGAGGUGAAAUUCGUAGAUAUUCGCAAGAACACCAGUGGCGAAGGCGGCUCACUGGACCGGUACUGACGCUGAGGUGCGAAAGCGUGGGGAGCAAACAGG